UAUUGUGAGCUCCUCCAUUAGUCUCGGUGCUUUUUCUCUUUUUUUUUUAAAUUUUGUGAAGACGUGUGCACUUAAUGAAGCAUGCCACGGCCAAGAAAGUGGUAUCCAGCUGGAUAUACGGUAAAUUCGGGCAGGUUGGUAAACGUAAGGAACGAUUUUCCGCCGUGGAUGUGAGAGGUUUGAUGCGGUAAAGAGAACUCUUCGACAGGGGCAAAAUGGACGUGUAAGCACCCAGACACAGGAGGAACGUGACACCUUCCAGGAUAUUCUUCGAGAUAGCAACAAUGGAACCAGUUUUCAAAAGAACCACGGCUUUUAAUGUGUUCUGCAGCAAAAGGCUGAAGGAUUGGACAAAUACUAAUUCUCUGGAAGUUGCAUUAAAGGAAUUGCCAAAGGCCAAAAGAACACGAGUCACAUGGGAUGCAAUUACAGUUAAAGCAUAAGAAAACAGUUUGGGGCCUCUUGGGGCCGUUGAUCACAUACCCAGUUCAAUAGAAAUUGAAUAAAUUUGCCAGAACAAUCCAGUUUUGGCUAAAUUUGAUAUUAAUUCUUUGAUAUUAAUCAAAUUGACCAGAAAAUUUAUAAAGUAGAAUGAAAAGAAAAUAACAUUUAUUAUUUGUGGUUUACAUUUGUGCAUAGCUUAGGAUGCACUUUAAAUUUAGUCAGAUAAGACAUUAUGAAUCAUCUUGCAUAUUGUGACUUCUGGCUAUACAUACAAAUAUUUGGCGCUUCAGUAACUGCAUUGGCUUUGGAGCAGAGUAGUGCUGAAUGAUUUUCCAUUGCAGUCCUAACAGCAGAUUGUAAAAUGUGAUUCAUAUACAUCAAGUCAAUACUGUCAUGUAUAUAUGGGAGUAAGUGUGCUGUUUUCUCUUUUCGUUUGUUUUAAAUUUGUAUGAAUAUAUUUCGCUCAUUGUAAAAUUUCUUCUUCAAUGUGGACAUAAAAACAUUUCAUGGGAUUAAAAAGUGUAUGUCAGUUUUCAGAAGAAA
rnacentral:lncRNA from 1 species